rnacentral:rRNA from 1 species
GACGAACGCGGCGGCGUGCCUAAUACAUGCAAGUUGAGCGCUGAAGGUUGGUACUUGUACCAACUGGAUGAGCAGCGAACGGGUGAGUAACGCGUGGGGAAUCUGCCUUUGAGCGGGGGACAACAUUUGGAAACGAAUGCUAAUACCGCAUAAAAACUUUAAACACAAGUUUUAAGUUUGAAAGAUGCAAUUGCAUCACUCAAAGAUGAUCCCGCGUUGUAUUAGCUAGUUGGUGAGGUAAAGGCUCACCAAGGCGAUGAUACAUAGCCGACCUGAGAGGGUGAUCGGCCACAUUGGACUGAGACACGGCCCAAACUCCUACGGGAGGCAGCAGUAGGGAAUCUUCGGCAAUGGACGAAAGUCUGACCGAGCAACGCCGCGUGAGUGAAGAAGGUUUUCGGAUCGUAAAACUCUGUUGGUAGAGAAGAACGUUGGUGAGAGUGGAAAGCUCAUCAAGUGACGUAACUACC